rnacentral:rRNA from 1 species
UGAUCUGCGACGCCGCGUGCAGGAAGAAGGUCUUCGGAUUGUAAACUGCUGUGGUAAGGGAAAAAUGUCAUGUAGAGUGGAAAGCUACAUGGAGGGAUGGUACUUUACUAGAAAGCCCCGGCUAACUACGUGCCAGCAGCCGCGGUAAUACGUGGGGGGCGAGCGUUACCCGGAAUCACUGGGCGUAAAGGGAGCGUAGGUGGCCUGACAUGUCAACUGUGAAAACCCGGAGCUCAACUCCGGACUUGCAGUUGAAACUGCCAGGCUUGAGGACGGUAGAGGAAGACGGAACUGCCAGUGUAGGGGUAAAAUCCUUAGAUAUUGGCAGGAACGCCGGUGACGAAGGUGGUUUUCUGGGCCGGUUCUGACACUGAUGCUCGAAAGCCAGGGGAGCGAACGGGAUUAGAUACCCCGGUAGUCCUGGCCCUAAACGAUGUUCACUAGGUGUGGGGAGCGGAAAGCUUUCCGUGCUAAAGCUAACGCGAUAAGUGAACCGCCUGGGGAGUACGCCCGCAAGGGUGAAACUCAAAGGAAUGGACGGA